rnacentral:lncRNA from 1 species
GAAAUUAACUUCCCUAACCACACCACUAUGCCAAUCUAAACAAAAAGAAAAACAAGCAAGAUGAAUGUCAAAGCUUACCAAAACAGAUGGGGAACCACCAAAAUAACAAAUUAAACGAUUGGAACAAUCAGUUGUUGAACAGAGUAGAGAGAAGAAUCGAAAAUAGGAAAAAUCACAGAGAAGAAGGGAAAAUGGAAGAACUAAUGUCAGAAAGAACAAAAAAUUAAGUAAAGGGGGAAAAAACUAGAAAUAAAAAAAAUAGAAUUUAAACCCCCACAAUAUCUCAACCCCUAUUAUCCCACUAACUAACCCAUUGACUCAUAACUACCUCAGAAUUUUACUUCCACACAACCUCUAUCUCAUAACUGAAGCAAAAAUAUCAC